rnacentral:sRNA from 1 species
GACAGGAAGUCAGUGGUUCCAAACAAUAUCGAGUUUUUCAUCAGAAAAACUCGAAGCUAAAAAAUGUACAGGGAUGUACAUUUUUUAGCGA